CCUAAUACAUGCAAGUCGAGCGAACAGACGAGGAGCUUGCUCCUCUGACGUUAGCGGCGGACGGGUGAGUAACACGUGGAUAACCUACCUAUAAGACUGGGAUAACUUCGGGAAACCGGAGCUAAUACCGGAUAACAUGUUGAACCGCAUGGUUCAACAGUGAAAGACGGUCUUGCUGUCACUUAUAGAUGGAUCCGCGCCGCAUUAGCUAGUUGGUAAGGUAACGGCUUACCAAGGCAACGAUGCGUAGCCGACCUGAGAGGGUGAUCGGCCACACUGGAACUGAGACACGGUCCAGACUCCUACGGGAGGCAGCAGUAGGGAAUCUUCCGCAAUGGGCGAAAGCCUGACGGAGCAACGCCGCGUGAGUGAAGAAGGUCUUCGGAUCGUAAAACUCUGUUAUUAGGGAAGAACAAAUGUGUAAGUAACUAUGCACGUCUUGACGGUACCUAAUCAGAAAGCCACGGCUAACUACGUGCCAGCAGCCGCGGUAAUACGUAGGUGGCAAGCGUUAUCCGGAAUUAUUGGGCGUAAAGCGCGCGUAGGCGGUUUUUUAAGUCUGAUGUGAAAGCCCACGGCUCAACCGUGGAGGGUCAUUGGAAACUGGAAAACUUGAGUGCAGAAGAGGAAAGUGGAAUUCCAUGUGUAGCGGUGAAAUGCGCAGAGAUAUGGAGGAACACCAGUGGCGAAGGCGACUUUCUGGUCUGUAACUGACGCUGAUGUGCGAAAGCGUGGGGAUCAAACAGGAUUAGAUACCCUGGUAGUCCACGCCGUAAACGAUGAGUGCUAAGUGUUAGGGGGUUUCCGCCCCUUAGUGCUGCAGCUAACGCAUUAAGCACUCCGC
rnacentral:rRNA from 2 species